rnacentral:rRNA from 1 species
CGAGCACGCGCGUGUGGCAUAUCAAUAAGCGGAGGAAAAGAAACUAACAAGGAUUCCCUUAGUAACGGCGAGUGAAGCGGGAAGAGCUCAAAUUUGAAAUCUUCAAGGUUCUACCUUGACGAAUUGUAGUUUAUAGAAGUGUUUUCUGUUAGUGGAGUGGCAAAAGUUCUUUGGAAUAGGACAUCAUAGAGGGUGAGAAUCCCGUAUUUGGUCAUUCCUCCUAGCGUUGUGAUACACUUUCAACGAGUCGGAUUGUUUGGGAAUGCAGUCCAAAAUGGGUGGUAAAUUUCAUCUAAAGCUAAAUAUUGGCGAGAGACCGAUAGCGAACAAGUACCGUGAGGGAAAGAUGAAAAGAACUUUGAAAAGAGAGUUAAACGGUACGUGAAAUUGUCAAAAGGGAAGCGUUUGACACCAGUGUUGUUUUUCCGAAAAUCAAUUACGAAUGUUUUGUUUUUGAGGAGUUAUGACUUCAUCGGCUUGCUCCUUUCUUUAUGAAACUUUCUUAAUGCACUUUUCGGUUAACAAGUCAACAUCAAUUUCUUUUGUUGUAAAAGAGUAUGAGGCAGGUGGCUUUCUUUUCGGAGAAAGUGUUUAUAGCCUUGUACUUCUGCAAUCGGAGAGAUUGAGGUCUGCAGCGUAGAUCCUUCGGGGUUAGAUACGUUUGUGCUAAGUUAUAGUUUUUCAUAGACAACUUGUUGACUAUGUUUAGUCUUGUAGCUUACUCGCUGACGCUAUUUUACCUACGCUUAGGAUGUUGAGCGCAUGUCUCUCUCU